UACGUAGGUGGCAAGCGUUGUCCGGAUUUACUGGGCGUAAAGAGCGCGCAGGCGGUCAGAUAAGUCGAAUGUGAAAGCCCCCGGCUCAACUGGGGAGGGUCAUUCGAUACUGUUCGACUCGAAGGCAGGAGAGGGAAGUGGAAUUCCCGGUGUAGUGGUGAAAUGCGUAGAGUAUCGGGAGGAACACCAGUGGCGAAGGCGACUUCCUGGCCUGUUCUUGACGCUGAGGCGCGAAAGCGUGGGGAGCGAACAGG
rnacentral:rRNA from 1 species